AUUUUUACUUGGAGCAUGAGAUUUAAUAAAUAAUUCUAAUGACAAGUGAAAGAAGAAGUCUGGUGAUAUGAUGGAUAGGUCCAUAGAGGGUUUCUAUUAUGUGUUACAUAUUUGGCUUUCCCUGUGGAUUGUGACAACCCAUUUGAAAAGAGCAGGCUAAGAAACGAAAAGAAAAUUAAUGUCACCCUUCUGAGAUUCUCUCUAUAAGAAGUGGGCUCUCUUUGAAGUAUAAUCCUGCAGGACUCCAGGUUGUUUGGAUUUCUCUGUUUUUCUUGACUCAGGGACUCUGAAAGAAAAGCACGCGACUUCCUGGGCUUUCCAACGAUAUUCACACCCCUUGGGGCUGUUUGAAGAGCUUGACUGGGGUCAUAUGGUGUCAUAUGGUGUGCUCACAGAUGUGGUUUCCUGAGUGCUGAUGGUUGCCUGAUGAGAAGAGUUUGGGGCCGUGGUGCUGAUGGAGCUCUGGAUACAUGACGUGGAUGUCCACAGUUUUCCAGAAGAUGAAGGUUUUCCUGUGACCCACCUUUUUGAGACUGAGGAAUCCUUUGGAACACACCCAGGAGCUCCCAAGGGCCCUGGCCUUGCUUCACCUGGAAACAGAGACCGGAGGAGAUGAAGUAUGCUUGAGGCUCCCUCUCAAGCCUUGGUUCUGUCUAUAGUAGCUUUAAACUGGAUCAGAUUAAGAGAACCAGAGAGGAUAAGGGUUUAAGCCAAAGAAGCACUUGAGACAAGAUAAAGCUCUUGUGACAUAGUGGGGGGAACACAAUUUAUUUGACCCAUCUUUCCUGCCUGUUUCUCCCACCUUCUCCUCAAGUUCAUGCUUACUGCUACU